UUUAUGGAGAGUUUGAUCCUGGCUCAGGAUGAACGCUGGCGGCGUGCCUAAUACAUGCAAGUCGAGCGAACGGACGAGAAGCUUGCUUCUCUGAUGUUAGCGGCGGACGGGUGAGUAACACGUGGAUAACCUACCUAUAAGACUGGGAUAACUUCGGGAAACCGGAGCUAAUACCAGAUAAUAUUUUGAACCGCAUGGUUCAAAAGUGAAAG
rnacentral:rRNA from 1 species